UACAGAGGGUGCGAGCGUUAAUCGGAAUUACUGGGCGUAAAGCGUGCGUAGACGGUAAUGUAAGUCAGAUGUGAAAGCCCCGGGCUCAACCUGGGAAUGGCGAUGGAUACUGGCUCGCUAGAGUGCGGUAGAGGAGAGUGGAAUUCCCGGUGUAGCAGUGAAAUGCGUAGAGAUCGGGAGGAACAUCAGUUGCGAAGGCGGCUCUCUGGACCAGCACUGACACUGAGGCACGAAAGCGUGGGGAGCAAACAGG
rnacentral:rRNA from 1 species